AUAUCCUCAGCCGAAGUUCAAAGCAGGAUUGAUCCUCCCGAGACUCAUCCGGCUUUUGACCGCAGAUGGUAACUCUCCGGACUUCUCCAACAGUCGAAUUUCCACGGUGUUGACCGAACUCCCCUGACGGACGAACUUCCACUGCUCCACCCCGAACUCCUUCAACAUGAGUUCCCCCAGUCGUAUAUCAACCCGCCCC
rnacentral:lncRNA from 1 species